GAUGAAGAACGCAGCGAAAUGCGAUAAGUAAUGUGAAUUGCAGAAUUCAGUGAAUCAUCGAAUCUUUGAACGCACAUUGCGCCCAUUAGUAUUCUAUUGGGCAUGCCUGUUCGAGCGUCAUUUUGACCACUUAAGCCUGGCUUAGUGUUGGGAAUCUACGUCUGUAGUUCCUUAAAUCUAGUGGCGGAGCCGCAGUGGCCUCUGAGCGUAGUAAUUUUUUCUCGCUUCUGAAAGUACUGUAGUUUUUGCCAUUAACCCCCCAAUUUUUUAAGGUUGACCUCGGAUCAGGUAGGAAUACCCGCUGAACUUAAGCAUAUCAAUAAGCGGAGGA
rnacentral:misc_RNA from 1 species